rnacentral:misc_RNA from 1 species
GCAAACUUGGUCAUUUAGAGGAAGUAAAAGUCGUAACAAGGUUUCCGUAGGUGAACCUGCGGAAGGAUCAUUAUUGAAUAAACCUGGCUUGCUGUUGCUGGUCUCUCCGGAGGCAUGUGCACGCUUGUCAUCUUUAUAUCUCCACCUGUGCACCUUCUGUAGAACUGGAUUCAAAACUUCGUCUGGGGAAACUCAGCGUCUGAGGACUGCUGCGCGUCAAGCCGGCUUUCCUUGUGUUUCCAGGGCUACGUUUUUCAUACACCCCAUUGAAUGUAACAGAAUGUUUCACUAGGUCUUUGUACCUAUAAACAAAUAUACAACUUUCAGCAACGGAUCUCUUGGCUCUCGCAUCGAUGAAGAACGCAGC